GUUAUUUUUUAAGUUUCAGCUUUAUUGAGAUAUAAUUUACAUACCAUACAGUUCGCCCAUUUAAAGUGUCCAAUUCAGUGGUGGUAGUAUAGUCAGAGUUGUGCAGCUAUCACCACAAUCAAUUUUAGAACAUUUU